rnacentral:rRNA from 1 species
UACGUAGGGAGCAAGCGUUGUCCGGAAUUACUGGGCGUAAAGGGUGCGCAGGCGGAAUGUCAAGUCAGCGGUAAAAUUUCGGGGCUCAACCCCGUCGUGCCGUUGAAACUGGCGUUCUUGAGUGAGCGAGAAGUAUGCGGAAUGCGUGGUGUAGCGGUGAAAUGCAUAGAUAUCACGCAGAACUCCGAUUGCGAAGGCAGCAUACCGGCGCUCAACUGACGCUCAUGCACGAAAGCGUGGGUAUCGAACAGG